AUAUAUUAACAUCUAAGAACAAAGUUUAUCAUGUUUAUAAGCAAAGUUGGAUAUUUGUAUUGAUUUUAUAUUUUGUUUUUUUUUUUUACAAUAAUUAAUUAAGAUUAUUAUUUUAAUUCAUUGUACUUAAUUAACAUCUUUUUUUAAAGUCGACGUAGAUAAUUUCUAAGACAUGCCUCGAUAUAAUUUAAAAAAACAAUGUCGAUAAGUAGGUACUCGUAAAAUAUGUCUGCUAGCAGUGCAAACAGAACUACGACUAUAUUCACUGACUAGCGUGAUUGCAUUUAAUAACGAGACAGGUAUAUAAUCUACAUACUUAUUAUAAUGUUAUAAAACUCACAAGGUACAUUUAAAUAAUUACAAAAAUAAAACAUUAUUUAUAAAAUAAUCAUAAGAUAAACAUUUGGCGAAAAUGUUACGUAUCUAGUAUUUAACAGUUAAAUUUAGGUAUAUUAAAAUUGCAAUAUUAAUUACAUAAUAAUAUACAGUGGUGAAAUUGAGUUUUUUUUUACUCUCUACAUCUUAUUUAUAAUUGUUAUACUUAUAAAACUGUACAAAGUCCAUAAAAUAUUACGCAAUUUAUGGCUGAAUGACUCGAGUUGAUAAAUUAUAGCUAAUUAGUCAAGUACUAUAAUAUGAAAUUUUAAUCUGUAUUUCUGUUAAAUUUGGAAUGGCUAUAAUAUUAUUAUCAAAUUGAAGUUGAUUUAUUCAAACUUUUAGUUUGCUUAAUUUAUCAUAGAAGCGUGUAUUGAACAGUUAAAUUAAUAGUUAUUAGUUACCACAAUAAGUUUGCAGUGUUUGAAAUGUUUUUGUAAAACAAUAAAAAGUAAUAAUUCUAAUAAGAAUAAAAUGUAAAAAAACAUACCAAUGCAAUAAUACUAUAUUUUUAAGACAACGGAAUAAUUAACAGUUAGACAUUUUCAUUAACUUCAUAACACGCAUUAUACGAUUUUAUUACAAAUACAUUAUGUACAGAGAAAUACCAAAGGCAGAUAGUAAAGUAGAACGUCCUUCUAAUCCAAGAUGUAAUGCAAACAUUUUGGAAAUCAUCACAUACAGCUGGAUGUCAAACCUACUAAAAAUAGGACGACGCAGAGAUUUAAAUGAAAUAGAUUUGUAUACGACAUUGGACGAUCAUACAUCAUCACCAUUAGGUGAUAAAUUAGAAAAGAUAUGGAGAUCGGAGUUGGCUAAUGCAUGUUUAGUGAAUCGAAAGCCGGCAUUGUGGAGAGCUUUGAUCCGAAUGUUUGGUACUAAAUUUAUGUUUCUUGGAUUUGUUAUUUGCAUAAGUGAAAUUAUUUUCACAAUAUCUCAACCUAUAUUAAUUGGUGAACUAUUAGAAUAUUUCAAUUCCGAUAAUACAGAAAAUUCUGAUAUAAGAUAUGCUUAUAUAUGUGCAUCUGGUUUAGUAAUCAGCUCAUUAAUAACAACAGUUGUACGCUAUUUAACGCAGCAGGAUCUUAUGGAUGAAGCGUUGAAGACGCGAGUUGCAAGUUCUUCUUUAAUUUACAAAAAGGCAUUAUAUUUAAGUAAUAAAGCUCUUGGUAAAACAACAGUUGGCCAAAUGAUAACUUUGAUAUCAAAUGACGUUAAUCAAUUUGAUGUACUAUAUCAUAAAUUACAUUUUUUAUGGAUUGGACCAUUGCAAACAAUAGUAGCUACAUAUUUAUUGUGGCAGGAAAUCGGUGUCUCGUCGUUAAUUGGAAUAGCUUUUUUCUUUGUUUUUAUUCCGUUGCAAGGUUUAAUGGGGAAAAAAAUGUCUGAAAUCCAUCUCAAGAUAGUGAAGAAGACUGAUGAGAGAAUACGUCUAAUGAAUGAAAUCAUUUUGGGAAUACAAGUGAUUAAAAUGUACACGUGGGAAAAGCCUUUUAGUAAACUUAUAGAAUACGUGAGAAAAUUAGAAGUUGAACAGAUUAAAGGAUCAACAUUUCUUGGAUUCAUUUCUAUAUCGUUCAAAGUAUUUCAAACAAGAUUUCAACUAUUCGUCAGUAUCGUAUUAUACAUCUUAUUAGGAAAUCACCUAUCUGUGCACAAAGUUUAUGUUCUUACAUCAAUAUACACUAUUUUGCAUGUGGGAAUGGUAGUAAUGUUCUCUGUCGGUUUGCUGAAAAUCGGUGAAUGCAUUGUAUCUAUUAAACGUAUCGAGAACUUCUUAUUGCUCGAGGAAAAAGAUCAAAUACCAGUUCUAAAACGUUGUUCGAAAUCUAAUACAGUAGAGGACAAUUAUGUUAAUAAAUUACUUAUUGCUGAUGACAAUAUUACAAAAACUUGUAAGGAUUUUAAAAAUAACAACGAAUUUUAUGAUAAUUAUAGUUUAGUUCUUAUGAAUGUAACUGCGAAAUGGACAAACGAUCAUAAAAAUAAUACACUAGAAAAAAUUAAUUUAACCGUAAGACCUGGACAAUUGUUUGCAAUUAUUGGAACAGUAGGAGCUGGAAAGAGUUCAUUAUUACAAGCAAUUUUAAGGGAAUUACCAAUUUCCGAAGGAAGAAUAUCUGUUCAUGGUGUAAUAUCUUAUGCAUCACAAGAACCAUGGGUAUUUUCUGGUACUAUUCAACAAAAUAUUCUUUUUGGAUCACCAAUGGACGAAGAACGUUUUAAAGAAGUUAUUGAUGUCUGUGCUCUAAAAAACGAUCUUGAACAUUUUCCACUUGGCCAUGAAACGGUAGUAGGAGAAAGAGGAAUAACUUUGAGUGGAGGACAAAAAGCAAGAAUUAAUUUAGCUAGAGCGGUGUACAAAAAAGCGGAUAUUUACUUACUUGAUGAUCCACUUUCAGCUGUUGAUGUUAAAGUUGGCAAGCAUUUAUUUGAAAAAUGCAUUUUAGAUUAUUUAAAAUUAAACACAUGUAUUCUUAUAACGCACCAAGUACAUUAUUUAUCUGAAGUUGAUCAAAUUGUUCUAAUGGAUAAUGGUAAUAUUGUAACGGUAGGAUCUUACCAAGAUCUAAAAGCCUCCAGUUUUGACUUUACAAAAUUACUUGGAUCUUCAGAAGGCACUAAUAUUGAAAAUGAAUUUGAAAAUAGUAAUAAUAUCAAAAAUGUUGGUGUCGACUCAAACUUGGUUUCAACUAUGCAUGGAUCUAACAAUAACGUUAUAUCAUCUAAAUAUAAAAAUCAAAUUAGUGAUAACCAUACUUCAAAACUUAAUGAUAAAUCACUACUUCAGUCUAAUAAAUAUAAUUGCAAAAAUACAUUUAUAGAAUACAUUAUGGCUAGUGGAAAUACACUUAGCAUUUUGUUUUGUUUAUUUAUGUGUAUUUGUACUCAACUACUAACUACCAGUGGAGAUCUUUGGCUUAGCUUUUGGGUUAAUCAGGAAAUUUAUGAAUUUGAUAAACUAUUAAAUACGUCUCAGAGUAAUGAUACAUCUGCAAUGUCUAGUGAUUCAUAUAGUAUAUCGUUAUUGUCAAAUUUCCAACUAAAUAAUAUUACUGUUUAUGUUUUCUUAAUGGUUGCCACGAUAUUAUCAACUAUUGUUAGGUCUGCUUCUUUUGUUAAAAUGACUACGAAAGCUUCAAUGAAUUUACACAAUCGUAUGUUAAAUUCCACUAUAAGAACCAACAUGUUUUUUUUCAAUACAAAUACAUCAGGACAAAUAUUAACCCGCUUUUCUAAAGACAUGGAAGCUGUGGAUAAAAUCUUACCAGAUAGUUUUUUGGACGCCUUUCAAAUUCUUUUGUUUAAUAUUGCAACUAUAAUUAUUAUUGGAUAUACUAAUAUUUAUCUUUUAAUACCGACAUUUAUCGUGGUUAUUAUUAUUUACAAGCUAAGAUUUUUGUUCAUCAAUACAUCUCAAAGUAUCAAAAGAUUAGAAGGAGCUACACGAAGUCCUGUAUUAGCUCAUAUGAAUGCAUCAUUACAAGGUUUAACAACAAUAAGGGCAUUUAAAGUAGAGAAUAUUUUAUCCCGAGAAUUUGAUAAACAUCAAGAUUUACAUUCCUCUGCUUCGCAUUUGUGUACGAGUUUAGUUCUAGGAUUCGGAUUUUGGUUGGAUAUAACUUGUAUCAUUUACAUAAGUAUUGUAACUUUCAGCUUUUUAGUAAUCGGCAACAAUGUCUAUGGUGGAACUAUUGGUCUUGCUCUUACACAAAUCAUGGGAUUACUCGGUCGAAUCCAAUGGGGAAUAAGACAAUCAACAAUUUUAGAAAGCCAAAUGGUACCAGUUAAAAGAAUAUUAGAAUACACACAUUUAGCACUGGAAGAUAGUAAUCAAUCGACUAAUGUAAAAAAUCCACCAAAAGAAUGGCCUUAUUCGGGAAAAAUCGUAUUCAAAAAUUUUAAUCUACGUUACAGCCUAAAUUCACCCUAUGUAUUGAAAGAUCUAAAUAUUGAAAUUCGAUCAAUGGAAAAAAUUGGUAUUGUUGGCCGGACCGGUGCAGGCAAAUCAUCUUUUAUCGGAGCAUUAUUUAGAUUAGCUCUUAAUGAAGGUAAAAUCAUCAUUGACGGUGUAGAUAUACAUGAAUUGGUGCUCAAAGACCUGAGAUCUAAGUUAUCUAUAAUUCCUCAGGAACCAGUAUUGUUUUCUGGCACAAUGCGAACAAACUUAGAUCCAUUUGAUGAAUACCCAGAUCAUGAUCUUUGGAAUGCUCUAGAUGAAGUUGAACUCAAAAAUUUUGUGGAGGGUUUGCCCGGUGGUCUUAACUCAAAAUUGUCAAAUAGUGGUUCGAACUUCAGUGUCGGUCAACGCCAAUUAGUUUGUUUAGCUAGAGCUAUACUACAAAACAAUAAAAUCCUAAUAUUGGACGAGGCCACUGCCAAUGUUGAUCCACUGACUGAUAAAUUGAUUCAAAAUACAAUAAGAAAUAAAUUUAAAAAUUGCACAGUACUAACAAUUGCUCACCGUAUAAAUACUAUUAUGGAUUCCGAUAGAGUAUUAGUUAUGGACUUUGGAAAAAUAGUUGAAGUUGAUCACCCGUAUAAUUUGUUGAAGAACACCGAUGGUUAUUUUUACAAAAUGGUAGAGCAAACGGGAAAGGAUACAGCUUACUAUUUACACAGUUUAGUUUCACAGAGUUAUACAACAGUACAGUAGAUAAAAAAAUCUCCGAGCAAUUCAAUUAUUGAAGAAGUUGUUUAGAAAAAUUAUAAAGAAGUUGUAUAUUAAUAACGUUCAUGUAUUUGUACAAAGUAGAACAGUUAAACAAAACUUAUACAUAAUCGUUGUAUCAUCUAUUCAAAAAUCAGAUGGUAACACACAAAGUUAAUACUAUAAAUCUACUCAUAUUUUAACAUAGAAAAUACGAUAAUACAGCAUAUUGUACAUUUUGUUCGUAAAAAAAAAAAUCUUAAUUUUUUUUCUAUGAUAUAUAGGAUAUGGUUAGAAAAUAUAUUUCUAUCCGCUUCAUUAUGUGAUUUUGAUUUGGUGGGGGAGUCCGAAGAAGAUAUUAACUAAUAAAUAAGAUGUAAAAUAAAAUGUAAUGGAGCGAGGAGUAACCACAGAAUAAAUUGUACUGCUAGACCACAAGUAAAUGGCCCAAACGAGACUGAUAACAAACUAGCUGUACUAGCACCGAAUAAUUAAUCAAGUUGGGUACCUCUUAUAAUAUAAUAUAUAUAGCUUUACAUUUAGUUCAGCUAAUACGUAUACAUAUACAGUAUACUGUGAAGCAUAAGUUUACCAAGUAAACAUUUAAUUAAGUUAUUACUAUGUACUUAAUAUAUUUAUUAUUUGUUACUUAAAUAUUGUCCAUCUAUAUUAUAACCGACGGUUUUGAUUAUUAAACCAGUGAA